GUCUCGGUAUUGCUUAAAGGUCCAAAAUAGGCGUUUGAACACUUGGCAUCCACGUAGCAAUCGGCCGUUGUAGUACGCAUGUUCCGUUUCAAGGUCUGUGAUGGCACCUGGGAUGUAUCUCUCUAGCACCUGACACCACUGCCAUAUUUCAUUAUAUGAGGCGUCCCACCCCCUAUGCAUCUUCUCCAACGCCUUUUGCUUAGCUAUCCAAGCCUUGCGGUAAGAGGGCGUGUACCCCAUUUGGCUACGAAUAUUGGCAAUUAACACCGGCACUGAAGUCUUGGGAUCUACUUUUACCGUGGGCAGUAUCAAGCUAGCUAACAUAGUUGAAUCCAUCUUGGGAUGAUCUUGUGAAACACCUAUAAACCGAGUACAUUAAAUAAUGCAACAUUGCAUAAUAAAAGUAUUGUGGGCACACAUGCCUCCUUAACCUAGAGAGAAAGAAAUCCCAGUCAUCAGACGACUCCCCCGGUGUUAUUGCAAAUGCAAUUGGAAGAAUUAUCCCACCGCCAUUCUGUGCCACUGCAAGCAAUAGCUGAUGAGUAUACCUCCCGAACAUAAAGGUACCGUCAAUUUGUACCAAUGGCUUGCAGUAUGGAAAUGCGUCUCGGCAUUGCUUAAAGGUCCAAAACAGGCGUUUGAACACUUGGCAUCCACGUAGCAAUCGGUCGUUGUAGUACGCAUGUUCCGUUUCAAGGUCUGUGAUGGCACUUGGGACGUAUCUCUCUAGCACCUGACACCACUGCCAUAUUUCAUUAUAUGAGGCGUCCCACCCCCUAUGCAUCUUCUCCAACGCCUUUUGCUUAGCUAUCCAAGCCUUGCGGUAAGAGGGCGUGUACCCCAUUUGGC
rnacentral:lncRNA from 1 species